UAAUACAGAGGUGGCAAGCGUUGUUCGGAUUUACUGGGCGUAAAGGGUCCGUAGGCGGUUCGGUUAGUCAAAUGUGAAAGCCCACAGCUCAACUGUGGAACUGCAUUUGAAACUGCCGAGCUAGAGUGUGAGAGGGGUGAAGGGAAUUCCCGGUGUAAGGGUGAAAUCUGCAGAGAUCGGGAGGAACACCAGUCGCGAAGGCGCUUCACUGGCUCACUACUGACGCUCAGGGACGAAAGCUAGGGUAGCAAACGGG
rnacentral:rRNA from 1 species